AUGGGGUGGCUUCAAUCCCUCUUCUCUCCAUUGAAGAAAGUUUGGUUCAAGUUGCAUUCAACUCAAAAGAAGAGAAGAGGGAUAUACAUUCUAUAUGAAGAUGUGAAAUCAUGCCCCUAUGAAGAUGUGCAAAUCCUCUGGUCAAUACUAGUAGAAUCACAUGCACCUUCUAUCUCAUCGCGAAAAUGA